ACUCCUACGGGAGGCAGCAGUGGGGAAUAUUGCACAAUGGGGGAAACCCUGAUGCAGCCAUGCCGCGUGUGUGAAGAAGGCCUUCGGGUUGUAAAGCACUUUCAGUAGGGAGGAAGGUAGUGUAGUUAACACCUGCACUAUUUGACGUUACCUACAGAAGAAGCACCGGCUAACUCCGUGCCAGCAGCCGCGGUAAUACGGAGGGUGCGAGCGUUAAUCGGAAUUACUGGGCGUAAAGCGCAUGCAGGCGGCCUGUUAAGUCAGAUGUGAAAGCCCGGGGCUUAACCUCGGAAUUGCAUUUGAAACUGGCAGGCUAGAGUCUGUAGAGGGGUUAGAAUUUCAGGUGUAGCGGUGAAAUGCGUAGAGAUCGUGAAGGAAUACCAGUGGCGAAGGCGGCCCCUGGACAAAGACUGACGCUCAGAUGCGAAAGCGUGGGAGCAAACAGGAUUAGAUACCCCGUGGUAGCGACUGA
rnacentral:rRNA from 1 species